GAUGAACGCUGGCGGCGUGCCUAAUACAUGCCAGUCGAGCGAACAGACGAGGAGCUUGCUCCUCUGACGUUAGCGGCGGACGGGUGAGUAACACGUGGAUAACCUACCUAUAAGACUGGGAUAACUUCGGGAAACCGGAGCUAAUACCGGAUAACAUGUUGAACCGCAUGGUUCAACAGUGAAAGACGGUCUUGCUGUCACUUAUAGAUGGAUCCGCGCCGCAUUAGCUAGUUGGUAAGGUAACGGCUUACCAAGGCAACGAUGCGUAGCCGACCUGAGAGGGCGAUCGGCCACACUGGAACUGAGACACGGUCCAGACUCCUACGGGAGGCAGCAGUAGGGAAUCUUCCGCAAUGGGCGAAAGCCUGACGGAGCAACGCCGCGUGAGUGAAGAAGGUCUUCGGAUCGUAAAACUCUGUUAUUAGGGAAGAACAAAUGUGUAAGUAACUAUGCACGUCUUGACGGUACCUAAUCAGAAAGCCACGGCUAACUACGUG
rnacentral:rRNA from 1 species